AUGGACCAAGUUCUGUCAUGGCCCCCAAUAAGAUCCGAAGAUGUCAAUGCAUUACAGGAUUACGGUUUGUUUCUUCGAAGCUGUAGCAAUGUGAUGAACGGCGUACACUAUAUGUAUGAACUAGAUAUGCCCGCUAAUAUGCUCACAAUAGUAAAGAAAUUGCCAUACAAGCUUCGGGAUUGCUGGAGAACAGUAGCCUGCGAGAUACAAGAGAGCCGUAACCAAAGGGCUACAUUCAGCGACAUUGUUAAUUUCGUUGAAAGGCAAGUUAGAAUUCUAACACACCCAGUGUUCGGGAAUAUCCAAGACCCCGCACCAGCAUUAAGUAAAAGUAUGAAUCGAACCAUCUCUAAACCCAAAGGAAGUAUUUUCGCUACAACUGCGACCACCGUCGAAAAUAGGAAUAUUGGAACACGGGAAUGGAAACGGUACACUGCCUUACCCAUCAAAGAUUGUCUGUUUUGUGAAGGUGAACACACUCUAGAGUCAUGCCCUCACCUGGAAGAGAAGACUCGCACCGAAAAGAUCACACUCUUAAAAGAAAAUGGUGUUUGCUUUGCCUGUUUAUGUACAGGACAUAUCAGCAAAGAUUGUCAAAAACGGUUGACAUGCCAAGUGUGUUGUAUGAAGCACCCCACAAUGCUUCAUAUUCAGUUUAAGGAGAAGCAAGCAAAAUCUGAAACUGAACAAGAGCCAGGCACGGCAGUGGGCAGAGCCUUAAUGUCCAAUGGCCUCACUGGGGCUGGUGAGGAAGAAUGUAAACUUCCCAUAGUCCCAGUACAGGUUAAGUCUAGCAAAGGUAAUAAGACAGUGCUCACUUAUGCUUUCCUAGAUCAAGGAAGCACUGCUGUUUUCUGUACUGAGAACUUAAUGAAUAGGCUUAAUCUCACAGGAAAGAAAACUCGUAUCCUUUUACGUACUAUGGGUCAAGAGAAGGUCAUGAAUACCCAAUUAGUCACAGGUCUCGAGGUGGCUGGUCUGGAUGGUGAGAUAUUUUGCGAACUGCCAAGUACUUUCACUCAGGAGAGUAUGCCUGUCCAUAAGGGAAAUAUUCCACGUCGACAGGAUCUUCAGAGAUUGCCUCACUUGCGACACGUUCAUCUGCCAGAGAUCAACGCAGAAAUCGAGCUGCUAAUAGGAACAAAUGUGCCAAAGGCCUUGGAACCAUUAGAAGUGAUCCGUAGCCUGAACGAUGGACCUUAUGCCAUCAAAACAAUUCUAGGGUGGACUGUUAGUGGACCAUUGGUAGGAGACAGCAGCGAUGGAUUUGACAUUGUCACAGUCAAUAGAGUUUCGGUUUCAAACUUGGAUAAGCUCUGGCAGCAACAGUUCAAAACUGAUUUUCCAGAAUGCAGCCACGAGGAGCAACCUGCUUUGUCAAGGGAAGACCAAAAAUUCAUGAAGCUGGUCAGAAAUUCAGCGAGCCUUGUGAACGGACAUUACCAGAUUGCAUUGCCCCUGAGAGAAUGUAAAUUAAACAUGCCAAAUAACAGAAAAGUCGCAGAGCAGUGUACUCUAAACCUUCAAAGGAGGUUCAAGAGUGUGUCUUUCCGACAGCAGUAUGCAGACUUUGUGGACAAACUUGUCUCCAAAGGAUAUGCUGAGCGAGUAUCUGCGGAGGAACCGACUCGUGAUGAUGGGAGAUUGUGGUACAUCCCACACCAUGGCAUCUACCACCCUCGAAAGGGGACGAUGCGGGUGGAGUUCGACAGCGGAGCACCUUUCCAUCCAUCCAUACCAUCUCCCAAUGAUCAGCUCCAGCAGGGACCAGAUCUCACCAGCUCAUUGAUAGGUGUCGUGACCAGAUUCAGGAAGGAACCAGUGAUAAUCCUGGCACAAAUAGAGUCCAUGUUCCAUCAAAUGAGAGUACCAGCAGAAGACAUGGAUUUGCUGAGGUUUCUCUGGUGGCCCGAUGGUGGCUUUGCACAAGAACUGGCGCCUUCAUUAAGUCCACAUCUCUUUGGUGCAACUUCAUCACCAAGUUGUGCUAGUUUUGCACAUAGAAAACGUGCUGAGGACAAUAACCAAAGUCUGUUUGCUACUGGAAGCCGAGGUCUGAAGAGACAAUUACUUUUGACUGACUUAUCUACUCACACGACAAAAGGUGGUGGUAAAGAUCACCUUGACAGGCUAAGUGCUUGA
ensembl:lncRNA